rnacentral:rRNA from 1 species
AACGAACGCUGGCGGCAGGCCUAACACAUGCAAGUCGAGCGGACCUUUCGGGGUCAGCGGCGGACGGGUGAGUAACGCGUGGGAAUAUGCCCUUCUCUACGGAAUAGUCCUGGGAAGCUGGGGGUAAUAUCGUAUACGCCCCUUGGGGGAAAGAUUCAUCGGGGAAGGAUUAGCCCGCGUUGGUUUAGGUUGUGGGGGGGGUAAUGGCCUACCAAGCAGACGAUCCAUAGCUGGUUUGAGAGGAUGAUCAGCCACACUGGGACUGAGACACGGCCCAGACUCCUACGGGAGGCAGCAGUGGGGAAUCUUAGACAAUGGGGGCAACCCUGAUCUAGCCAUGCCGCGUGAGUGAUGAAGGCCUUAGGGUUGUAAAGCUCUUUCAGCUGGGAAGAUAAUGACGGUACCAGCAGAAGAAGCCCCGGCUAACUCCGUG